GGCGGCCCGGUAGUCCAGUGGUUAGCACGUCGGCUUCACAGGGCAGAGGUGCCGGGUUCGAUUCCAGCUCCGGCCUCCCUGUGUGGAGUUUGCAUGUUCUCCCCGGGUCUGCGUGGGUUUUCUCCGGGUGCUCCGGUUUCCUCCCACAUUCCAAAAACAUGCGUGGCAGGCUGAUUGAACACUCUAAAUUGUCCCUAGGUGUGAGUGUGAGUGGUUGUUUGUUUCUGUGUGCCCUGCGAUUGGCUGGCAACCGAUUCAGGGUGUCCCCCGCCUACUGCCCGGAGACGGCUGGGAUAGGCUCCAGCACCCCCCGCGACCCUAGUGAGGAUCAAGCGGUUAGGAAGAUGAAUGAAUGAAUGAAUGGUGGAAUUAGCUAUCCUGAUAUUGGAAUCGGGCCUCUUAAAAAUGUGAAAAGAAACAAAUCUGAUUCAUGCUAACGUGACUGACAAGCUGCCCUGUAAAUAUGAGCCUGACAUCAUCCAAAUAUGGGAAAUAGGGGGGCGCACACGCAUAAAUAAAGCAAAAACAACUGCGGAAAUUUCUCCGGUACAUGACAGUUAAUUUCAUAUUUUGGAUAUCAUGCAUCAUGAAAUGUAAGAUCUCAUUCCACUGUCUACGUGUUUUAAUUAAAAACAAAAAAACAAAACAAUCCAUUGAGGCUUUCUUCAUACUAGCACGCAGCAACACGUGCGAGGUGCAUUCCAGCCAAGGUUGCUCUCUGCACUCAUAACUCCGACGCCGCGCGCUAUAUAACCUCAAUGUGGUUUGUGUCAAUAUAUCACACCAUGUGACCACAAAAACCACGUACACUGUCCAUAUUCAAGUGGUAUUUGGAAGAAGCGGGGCAGCCGCUCGCUCUCUGGCCUUCGUCGGAUUCAUGAAAGAACCGAGGCGGCUACACUGGGAUAGACAGGGAUUUCAUCAAAAUGCAGACCACAUGGCACAAGAUUUUUCUCCUUCUGCCCCUGUCGAUAUCACACACACACGCGCACACACACGCACAUGAUAUUCCGCAAUACGUUUGAAUUUCAGAGGUUCCAUUGCGGUCCCCCACUGCGGUAAGUGUGUCUGCGACAACAGCAACAGCUCGGCUCUGUCCUUCAUUAAGCCACCAAGAUGGCCUACAUAAGACGUGGGUGGAUGGUGGCCACACUGAUUGUGUGUGUGUGUGUGUGUGUUGGCACAGACUUUCAGAAAAUGCCGGGCUCUAUCACCUGCGCAAAUUCAUAACGCACGGCGUAAAUUAGGUUGGGAGAAGGUUCGACUGGGUGCUUGUAAUUUCCCAGGUGUGCGCAAGCCGGAGCAUUAAAAAAAAAAAGGACGCUUUCCCCCGUUGUGGGUGUGAGCACAGCCGCCCAUGGCUUGCUAGCACAUGGGUCCAUGAGCACAUUUGACUAAAAUCGUGAAAACCGUUUCAGGUCGGGAGAAGGUUCGACUGGGUGCUUGUAAUUUCCCAGGUGUGCGCAAGCCGGAGCAUUAAAAAAAAAAAAAGGACGCUUUCCACCGUUGUGGGUGUGAGCACAGCCGCCCAUGGCUUGCUAGCACACAGGUCCACGAGCACAUUUGACUAAAAUCGUGAAAACCGUUUCAGGUCGGGAGAAGGUUCGACUGGGUGCUUGUAAUUUCCCAGGUGUGCGCAAGCCGGAGCAUUAAAAAAAAAAAAAAGGACGCUUUCCACCGUUGUGGGUGUGAGCACAGCCGCCCAUGGCUUACUAGCACACCGGGUCCACGAGCACAUUUGACUAUCGUGAAAAGCGUUUCCCCCGCCCCAUGUGUUAAACUUUCUGCACUCCCUUGCUACAGUGGAUGUCUUUAGUUCAUGACCCUCGUCCUACUUGAGAGGUGGCACCCCUGUUUCAGUGCUGAGGCCAAAACCAGGAAGGCCAAGCACAAGCGAGCCGUAUUUCACUCGUUUGAACAGCCGUGCAGCAUUUGAAGGGUUAACGGCGCAGGUUGGCUGGAUAUUAAUGCCAACUGCUUAGACUCCAGAAUAAGACUGGCUUUAAACCAGCCUUCUCCUUGGCCCCUCUCAAACUCCGAGAUCUUCUCAGGCAUAGUUCUCAUAUUAAAAGAAAACAAGUUACACAAAUGAGACAGAUGGUUCUUGUUUGUGAUGACAGUUGCACUACUUUCUCCUCCAGCUCUCCCACCUACCCCCCUCCCCGCACCCACGCACCCUCCAUCUUAUCCCUCUCGGCUUUCUUUCUCUGGUAUCUUUGCUCCUUUGUUACCACACUCGUAGAAACAAUUGGAGCGGUGCGCACGGACACGUUUCCUUAAUAAUAUAAUGAUAAUAAAACACAGUUCUACAAAUUCGGGUUAAAACUGUUCAUUGCAUCAUAUCCAGACCGAGCAAUAAAAUUGAAAUCCACCGACUGGCGUUAUUCAUCAAUCGGGAUGGUUUUUCUAAUGCUAUGUCAUGGUUGUGUUUAUUUUGUUCUUUGAGUUGGCGGGAUCGGAGGGCGUUUCCUCCAGUGCCGCACCUGUUUGUCAUUGUCAUCAGCUUCAUCAUCAUCACCUGCCCUACUUAAGGGCCGCCACGCCGACCACUUUGACACAGACAGCAUGUCAUGUUGAUUUGUUUCUGUUGCUGUCACGUUAUUUUAUUUGUGAUCGUGGUGUAUUUUUUUUCCUUGUGUUUUGUUGUGACUGAGAGUUUGUGUGUCAUGUUCCUGUCCUUGGCCUGGCCAGCAGGUGGCAGACUGAGUGGACUUUCUGCCUGCACACCUGCUGCCAAUCUUUCAAUGAAGGAACUGUGUAUUUAAGGACCAACAAUCUGAAUGGUGGUUGUCGGAGUACUGUUUAUGCCUUGAUGCUUGCUUACCCGCCCACAGACUCUUUAGUAAAGAGUCUUUACUAUUGAUCGUGAUUUACCAUUUAUUGCGUAAGUAUGGCUUUGUGUUGUGAUUUGGCUUUUUCUUGCGUGUAGUUGAUUCAUUGUUUUUUCGUUUGUAUUCUCGGUUCGUGUUUUCCUCUCUUGCCUUUUGUGCAAGCGCUUUAGUUAUUCGUUUUUGUGCUUCCCCGAUCCUUCUUUUGACCAGCGCUUUAUGUUACUACUUUGUCGGUGCGAAUUUUGUACAUUAUAAAAUAUUUUUUGCUUCGGAGACCUUGUCUGGUGUCUUCACUUUUGGGUUCCAAAACUUAAUUCGGUUAGUCUGAAUCGUGACGGUUUGGAU